ACGCACUCUUCGGAGUGAGUGGCAGACGGGUGAGUAACGCGUGGGAACCUACCUGAUGGUUCGGGAUAACCUGGGGAAACUCAGGCUAAUACCGAAUAAGCCCUUCGGGGGAAAGAUUUAUUGCCAUUGGACGGGCCCGCGUCGGAUUAGCUAGUUGGUGGGGUAACGGCCCACCAAGGCUACGAUCCGUAGCUGGUCUAAGAGGAUGAUCAGCCACACUGGGACUGAGACACGGCCCAGACUCCUACGGGAGGCAGCAGUGGGGAAUAUUGGACAAUGGGCGCAAGCCUGAUCCAGCCAUGCCGCGUGAGUGAUGAAGGCCUUAGGGUCUGUAACAGCGUCUGCUGCACGCGGGGAAGAUAGUGA
rnacentral:rRNA from 1 species